UACAGGGGGUGCAAACGUUGCUCGGAAUCAUUGGGCGUAAAGCGCACGUAGGCGGUUCGUUAUGUCGGAUGUGAAAGCCCUUGGCUUAACCGAGGAAGUGCAUCCGAAACUGGCGAGCUAGAGUACUAAAGAGGAUCGCGGAAUUCCCGGUGUAGAGGUGAAAUUCGUAGAUAUCGGGAGGAACACCUGUGGCGAAAGCGGCGCACUGGACCAUAACUGACGCUGAGGCGCGAAAGCUAGGGGAGCAAACAG
rnacentral:rRNA from 1 species